GACGAACGCUGGCGGCGUGCCUAAUACAUGCAAGUCGAACGCAUUUUCUUUCACCGUAGCUUGCUACACCGAAAGAAAGUGAGUGGCGAACGGGUGAGUAACACGUGGGUAACCUGCCCAUCAGCGGGGGAUAACACUUGGAAACAGGUGCUAAUACCGCAUAAUUCCAUUUACCGCAUGGUAGAUGGAUGAAAGGCGCUUUUGCGUCACUGAUGGAUGGACCCGCGGUGCAUUAGCUAGUUGGUGGGGUAACGGCCUACCAAGGCUGCGAUGCAUAGCCGACCGGAGAGGGUGAUCGGCCACACUGGGACUGAGACACGGCCCAGACUCCUACGGGAGGCAGCAGUAGGGAAUCUUCGGCAAUGGACGCAAGUCUGACCGAGCAACGCCGCGUGAGUGAAGAAGGUUUUCGGAUUGUAAAACUCUGUUGUUAGAGAAGAACAAGGAUGAGAGUGGAAAGUUCAUCCCUUGACGGUAUCUAACCAGAAAGCCACGGCUAACUACGUG
rnacentral:rRNA from 1 species